UACGUAGGGGGCAAGCGUUGUCCGGAUUUACUGGGCGUAAAGGGCGCGUAGGCGGCGUGACAAGUCACUUGUGAAAUCUCCGGGCUUAACCCGGAACGGUCAAGUGAUACUGUCGUGCUAGAGUACAGAAGGGGCAACUGGAAUUCUCGGUGUAGCGGUGAAAUGCGUAGAUAUCGAGAGGAACACCUGCGGCGAAGGCGGGUUGCUGGGCUGAUACUGACGCUGAGGCGCGAAAGCCAGGGGAGCGAACGGG
rnacentral:rRNA from 1 species